rnacentral:rRNA from 1 species
GACGAACCGUGCGAACGUUAUUCGGAAUCACUGGGCUUAAAGCGCGUGUAGGCGGCCCGGCACGUCCGUCGCUGAAAUCCCCCGGCUCAACCGGGGAAGUGGCGUGGAUACGACCGGGCUGGAGGGGGGUAGGGGGAGCCGGAACUUCCGGUGGAGCGGUGAAAUGCGUAGAGAUGCGGAGGAACACCAGUGGCGAAAGCGACUUUCUGGUCCUUAACUGACGCUGAGGCGCGAAAGCAUGGGGAGCGAACGGG